UCUGAUUUAGGCAGCAAAAUUCUAUUAAAUUAGAAUCAUACAGAGACCUUUAGCAUGGCUCCUGGGCAAAGAUGAUAUUUAAUUUCACGAAGCAUUUCACAUUUUU